GAAGUCAGUACAAACUACAAUUUCACACAGACAAUGAGUUGUUUAUACUGCUCUAUAUACAAUACACUGACAUGUAAGUACAAUAUUUAUAUUCCAAUGGAUUCAUUUUAUAAUUAUGUGGUAAAAAUGAAGAAAGUCAGCUAUUUUUCAGUAGUAGUGAGCUGUGACACUUUUGUAUUUUUAUGUCUGAUUUUGUAAGCAAGUAGUUUUUAAGUGAGGUGAAACUUGGGGAUACACAAGACAAAUCUGACUCUUGAAAGGGGUACAGCAGUCUGGAAAGGUUGAGAGCCAAUGGGCCAGUCCAUAAUAGGGCUCCCUCUAGAUAUCUUGUUUGGACGUUUGUUUGUUUGUUUGUUUGUUUGUUGAUUGAUUGUGCCUUAUCCUGUUGUCGCCAAAGCAUCCACAAGAACAUGGCUUUUCACUGUGGCUUAACUGAGGUUUGAGUCCUGGGGAGCUGCACAAAAGCUCCUGCUCCCAGGUUUGGUUUUACUGUAUAAUUCCUUUCAGUUUCCAGAGAUUAUGGGCAUCUCCAUCUCUUUGCUGAGAUCUGGCAGCAGCUAAUGGAAGCUGGAGGUUUACUGCUGUCACGGCUUAUGCUGGCCCAGAUUCAGAGUUUGUUGGAAACAGAUAACCAGGCAGGCCCAAGAGUAACUGCUGCUGUCGCUGUGCAGCCCCUUGCAGCAAUCUCUCAUGCUGUCUAGCCAGGUAUCGCCCUUUAAGGGAGCUGUGAAUCUGGAACAUCAUGGAAAUCUCUCACAGUCAGGCUCUGCCCGCGGGAAUGACGCAGUUCCCACUCAUGCAGCAUAUCCAGAAUGCUGCCUUCCUAGGAUCCCUCUCCAGGGGGUGACGAGCCAUCUGUCUCCUGCUAUCAGACCCAGGAGGCACAGGAGGCUGUCUGACAAACACAUUGCAAACCCGAGCAAAGUUGGCGCGGUUGUGGGUACCUCCAGCUAACCCGUGAAUGCCUGUGAAGCAAAAUCAACACCAUUCCAGUGGCCAACGGGUACCAAGGAGAAAGGUGCUGGCUACUACUGGAGCUGGGUUACCAGUCUGGAGGCGUCUGAUGGGGGAUGGCAAAUAUUAUGUUCUUUUAAGUACACAGACAUACAUUAAUAACUCGUCUGUGCCCUCACACAGGGAAAGCCCAGGCUUAAAGGGAAAUGGCCACAAUAAAAACGUUGCUAAUAACAGCUCUGAUUAGUAAAAAUGGAAGGAAUUUAAAUAAAUGAACAUACUUUUCUCCUGGUGCACUCAUACGUUACGUUUGUACUUCACUUACAGGAGACUGAUCAGUUUCACUUCCUAUUCACUGUCCAUUUCUGAGUCACAUGCACUAGCCGAGCUGUCAGCUUCUGCAGGGGGAUGCGGACAGAAAAGAAGGGUUGGUUUUCAGGACAUUUUGAAAACAAUAAAAAUAUUUCUCUUCAUUUUGUUAGGUUUCGGAAUUAAGCAGCUGACGUGUGCUGGGACCUUUGAUGAAGGGCUAUAUAAGUAAUGAGCAUUUCUGGCAUCAUUUAGUGUAAAUUCCUUUCCUACAACACCAAACAUCUGGGCCUAGACUUGAACCUCUGUGAGAGAGGGACUGUAUGUUCUGUGUUUGUGCAGCACCUGGCCCAAUGGGGUGCUGGUCUGGGACUGGGGCUCUAGAUGCUACCACAAUAAAUAAUUACAAUACCAAUACUUGACAAUGUCCCUUUCAAUAGAAUGGCUGAUUCUAGCUCAGUCCCCUGUGCUCUGGCUUGCUAGCUAUUGUGCCUGAGAGGUGUUUGGACAACACCUGGGUCUACUGCAAUACAAAUGAUAAGUUUAUGGCUAACACUUUGUUACAGCAACUCGGAAAUGUGGGUGACUAUGUAAUACAUUGUGACUAUGUAAUACACUGGUUUAGUGUAUUCAAUCAUAUUUUCUUCCACUGGCUGGCUUCGGUAAGGAUAUGACCUGGCUGCUCACUGAUCUUGAGUGGAGUGGAGCCCAUAAAUCACAUGCUACAGGCUUAUACUUUUGGUGCUAAAAGGUUCUGGAUUCAGUUUCCGCACAUCUGUAUGUAUACAACCCAGGUGGGGCUUGGACCCCAAUACACAGCAGAGAGUCCCCACUAGCAUAUCACAUAGGGAGAGUAUGUAGUGUCCGUGCUAAGAGUAUGUGACUGUGUUUCCCUCGAGUGCAGCGGUUUUCAAACUUUCUGAGCUGAGCCCCCACUUUGAGUUACAAUUUGGGGUUGCACUCCCCAAACCAAGACAAAAAUAGACACAUGCCGAAGUAUCCUUGAUGGACGGUUCACAAACCUAGCGGAGACCUUAGCCCAGCUUUAAUUACAUUACCUACACCUGGACGUUUCAAAUACACAGAUAGUGACCAGUGGGUUUUCAGGUGGGGGAAGGCAUGUGCGACGGUCUCUGGGGGUGGAGCCAGCGCUGGGUGCAGAGGCUGCUGGGAGCGGAAAUCAGUGCAGCUGCAGCAGAUGUUGACCCUGACCCACAGGCUGGGUGGCCCACUAAGGUGAGUCAGGGUGGAGGUGGCGCUCCCUCCCAGCCCCCCAUGGAGGCUGGCUCAAGCUGCCUGGCAUCACCAUUCGCCCCCCUGCCCAAACAUUCCUCCACAUCCCCUGAAGGGGUGCAUCUCACAGUUUGAAAACCUCUGUGCUAGCCAUUAGUUUGAGCCAGGAUACAAGCCAGCUACAGACUGGAUGCCAAGAAAGUUGCUCCAUUAGUUCAAAGUGACUUGUACUUUUAGUGCUGCAGAUCCCAGAUUCAAGCCCUGCUAUCACCCAGGGCUCAAAUUGGGGGCGGGGGAGGGAUAGCUCAGUGAUUUGAGCAUUGGCCUGCUAAACCCAGGGUUGUGAGUUCAAUCCUUGAGGGGGCCAUUUGGGAUCUGGGGCAAAACUUGGGGAUUGGUCCUGCUUUGAGCAGGGGGUUGGACUAGAUGACCUCCUGAGGUCCCUUCCAACUCUGAUAUUCUAUGAUUCAUUGUGCCGGUCACAACUGGGGUCUGUUACAACAUAUUGAUUUUUAAUGUUUUUUCUCUUGCCACAAUAGCUGCAGAUCAAAGCUCUAGGCCAAAAAAAAGCCUAGCAAAGGGCUGGCUAAAAACUGGCAUGUGACGAGUCUAUUUCUAUACACCGCCUCGGACUGGCUUCACGGGGUUGGCAACUUCGGCAGAGUUAAUCAGUCAGACUGCACAUGUAAAUGAGCACAUCCCAAGUUAGAUAUGUUCAGUGCAGGCUUCACUUCGCCUCUGAUGAGUCAGAACCAGACUGCCGAAGACUACCACUGCAGCAGGGCAUGCAAUAGGCCGGGACUGCCCUGUAAGGUACUAACCCAAAGACAGAGUGCCUGUAACCACUGGAGAGUAGCCUGUCUUUGCACCUGCUAGCAUGGCUUGUUGCUAUUCAAGUACGGCUCAUUUAUUGUAAGUUUGACUUUAAAAAAUAUGAGUUCUGCAGUGAAAGGAUCCGAUUUGGCCUGCCAUCCCUAGCAAUUUGAGUCACGGUGGAGGGGCGAUGAGAAAGAAUGUAUAUUUCAAUUCACAAGUUGCCUCCACUGGCCCAGACGUAACCCAGCGGAGCAUAAUUGAAAUGUUGCUACCUUAACAAUAGGAAGUUGCUACUCACAAGAGUAGGAUGUUUGCUCGCAUUCCCCACCGAAUCUCCCAGAGGUGCUACAUCACCGGCCUUUGAGUUCCUUUUCUCCUGCUUGUUGGGAAGAGAGCGUGAGGACUGGCUGUUUGCAGAGCAGGUGCAUUCACUGGAUUUCAUUUAGUCUCACGCGCCCCCUGCUGCCUAAAUCACAAACUGAGCCAGAGCUGGGUCAGUUUGAUGUGUGUUUGGGGUUAUAGGGAGUUUUCGGUUUGUGAUUCAUCUUGUGAUUCGGUUUGUGAUUCAUGGCUUAGGGGAUUUUUUAUCGUUCCGGAGUCUGCGCGUUCAUAGAAUUUACUCAACACAACUAGAUCAUUGGUCUCUCUAGUCCUGCAUCCUGCCUUUACCAGUGGCCAGUAUGUGAUACUUCUGAGAAAGGCAAUCCCCAUCGUCAAUUUGAUGCAUGUGGCCAGUGAGUUAGUUCCUUCCUGACUCCUGCAGUAAUCACUUUGUGCCCAGGUGCAUGAGAGUUGAUGAGCUAUGUCUAACAUGUAUAAUAUAACUACCAGUGUUAUUGUUGCUCACCAGCUAGCCAGCCCUUCUAACCUCCAGUAACACCAUCAGGGUGAGUUCUAUAGCAUGACUACAUGCUGGGGGAGACAUAUUUCCUUUAGUUUGUUUCAUUUUAAUCAGCCACUAACUUCAUAGACUGACACCUUGUAGAACUGCAGAGUGUCAAAUAGCCAUCAAUUCUUUGCCUUAGAGAGCACCUUCUGUCAGCAGAUUGAAAAGUGCACAGGAGCUACUUCCAAACAAGGAAAAUUUCCGACUCCCACUGAUUUCCGGGAGUUCUGUUUGACCACGGACCACAGCGUUUGGCCCAGCUAGAGCAGUGCAAGUGGAUCUAAGCAAUGUCAGGAAUCCUAGGCAUGUUGUCUCCCCUGCCACUAUGAUUCCAUGCACUGCACCACUCAUCUCAGAUUCCAAAUGCUGACAUGAUGUGAAUUACACACAUUGCCAUAAUACAUUCUGCCCCUUGGUAUGUCAGUUACACCUACCUACACCAGUGUAUAAUUUACAAGCCCAAUUACCUGGCCAUGAAUUGGUGCCAAGGACCUUUUAAUUAGACUUAAAUUGCCAUUUACUGAGUUGCUGGUGAAGCAAGGAAAGUUUCUCAUCAGCCCUUUUUUAGAUCCCCCAUUAUUCCAUAGGGCCAGCAAUCACACCAAGAUAUUGGUAUGCAAACUCAAUGGAAAUUGCAUCUCCUGGGAUGAAUGGGUCUGAAAAGCUUUUUAAAAUACCAGGGCUCCCUUUUCUCCUCUCAGGGAUGUUUCUGAAGCACAGUGCAGGUGAAGAUGUGGUAUAGUCCAUGCAGCCAUGCUCAGCCUUCUCCUUGCAUCACAGGAAAUGAAACAGGAGCCAACUAUAUCCGGAGAAUCGUCUUUAACCCUCAAACAAUUGGUGCUGGAAUCACACUCUUCCCCUUGCAGCCAAAUCCAGGAGGGACAUUUAGUGACAGCGGGAGGCAGUGUUGUGUGAGUUGACUGAUCCCAGCCCUGUAUGCUGGCAGCAUCGUCUCCCAGCCCUAUAAUUGAAAAGGCUGUGGACCCCUCAUUGCUGAUCAGUGUGGCUUUAGCUCUGAGCUGACCCUGUUACAACUUGGUGUGGUGUCAAACACACAGCAAAGGCAGAAUUAGUUCUGCUACUGUGCCAUGAACCCUAAUGGGCAUCAAGGAAUGAAGCUGUCAGGCUUUUGGCCUUAUAUUUUCAAAGCAAAGUUGGCGCCGGCUAUAAAGCCCCACAGCCCCAGGGGGCAUGCCCACCUGCCCCAAGGGAACAUGCCCAUCAAAGCUAGGCAGUCUUUGAUCUCACCAACCUGUUGUUCUCCUUGCUGCUUUCCCCUACCCCCUUCUUCAAACCCUCGUACUAGCCAAAAUGCCAGCUGAACAAUGAGCCCUGUUAGAGGCCCCUAGGAAGAAAUCCACCCAGAGAUCCCAAGCAUGACAGCAGGGGAAGCCCCAGGAAAGGCCAGCUCCCCUCUGUGUACUACCAGCACCAGUCACGUACAGAGUCACGCAUGAUCUGGCAUGCCCUGCUCUUGUGGCUGAGGUUGUGACCCUGCCUCCUCUCACUUGCAGUGCAGCUGUCACUUGAAGUAUAUAUCUACACUGAGCCUGGGCUCUGACUCAGGUCUCUGCCCAGCCCCCCUCCCAGCCACACACAAAUCAGCCUAAGUCAGCUCAGCAAGCAUUCAGGGCCUUGCUAGGGGGAUGGGUCAGAGCCUGAGUCCCACUGUGACCCAGGUCCAAGCCCUCUCAGUUUACAGUGUGGACGCAGCUCAAGCCACAAACCCGAAUCAGAAGGUCUGCCCAGCCCAGCAUGACUGCGUUAGCACAGCUGUGAAUCCCGGGUCCAGCACCUGUAAGCCCAGGUUCACAAUGCAGUGUUGAUGCUCAGGUGGGGGCUUGGAAACACCCAGUCCACAAGCCCAGGUCCUGCAGACCUGGGUUUACAAUGCAGCACAGAAGUACCCUAUGAGCCUAUGCAGCAUGCUCCAGGAGGAGACCCCGGCAUAGGUCUGGCGCUUCUGAGAGCUAGCGCAGCUGGAAGUAGCCCUGGCUUUGGUCCCCUCCAUCAGCUCCAUCUUGGGGGAGAUUUACCAGCUACCUGAGCGGAGGAGGGGCAUUAUCUUUUCUACUUUAUACAGGUGGAGAGAGAAGGCAUUGCCAAUGCAACAUCAGGAAGCCGAGGCAGCUCUUUCUCAUCUGCCCAUAUUGGAGGCAAGAGGGAACACUGGCUGUUAUUUAUCCUUUUCUACGGGGGAGGUCCUGGACUGAGCUCUGAGAGGAAGGAGUAGCCAUGGGGUGGGACACUGACUGUUGCACUGAUGCUCGUUGGAAAGAAGCCAGGAAUGCUUAGCUCUUCUCUAGCCUGCUCCACUCAGAAAGCCUGAGUGCUGGACAUAGGAGGCCAUUGUCAUUAUUUGAAGGUAACAGACUUCAGACAUCUAAAAAGCUGUUCUAAAGAAGAUGCUGAUCGAUUGUUCUCCAGGGCCACUGAAGGCAGGACAAGAGUUACGAAGGAUGGUGUUGGAAAGGGAUUAGUCCAAUCUCUGAAUUUCCUGCCUUUGAUGGCUCUGUAGCCUCCAGGAUCACCUCCCUCAUGGGUUAAUUUCCCAGUGCAACACAAAGAGCUUCAUGAAUAAACCACCAGGGUUGCUAAUGGCAAAACCUCACACCUACACAUUCUAAUUGGUCUGGAAGGGAGAGAAGGAGAAAAGAUGGGUCAGCGUAAUUGGUGCCUUCCAGACAGUGUGAGCCGGGAAUCAAGGACUUGGCUGGCAGGAGGUUCCGCAGUGAGCCAGAACUAGGCUGUACAGACCUGACAGCAGCGAAAGAGGCUGAAUCAGUCACUUGACUCUGGCCCAGCCAUUGUCACACCAGGCGGGAAGAAAUGGGAAAGGAGAAGGAAUGUAUCCCUUACACUUUCCCCUUCUACAGAGAAUAUCAGGGGGUGAGAUUCUGGUGCAAUCCUGGAGUCGCUCCACUGAGUUCAUGGAAAUUAUUCAGGGGUUCUCUGGGUCAUGGAGAUCAGACCUUGAUCCAGAGCUAGGGAACCUCUGCAUUACAUAGAUAACAUUGUCCCAGUGAAGAGCUCUAAUAAGCAGUAAAAUUCGCACCCAUCCACCCCUGCAAUCUCAGCCGUAAGGUCCAAUUGCAUGGAGUGGGGGUAUAAAAAUGUCUGGGGGGGGGUUAGGAGCACAGCUCCCACUGAAAGCCAUCAUGAUUCUUGUCUUAAAGACCUCAGAUGCCUUUAAACUCAUCCUGUCUUGUUGUGAGUAUUAGGGCCAGGGCCACACUGUACUAGGCAAGGUACAGGCAUGGACCCUGCCAUGGACCCUGCCCCAAAGAACUUAGACUCUAGGGGUACAUCUCCACUGCAUUAUAAAUCCAGGUCUGUGGACCCGGGCUGUGGACUCAGUGGUUCUAAGCCCGUGCCUGAGCAUCCACACCGUGUUGUAAACCUGGGUUUCCAGAUGCUGGGCUUAGGUUUCACAGCCGUACUAAUGUGUCUGUACUGUGCUAUGCAGACUGUCUGACUCAGGGCUGCAGCUUGAGCUGCGUCCACAUGCAAAAUGACAGGGCUUGGACCUGAUUCACAGCAGGACUUGGGCUCUGACCCACCCCCUAGCAGGGUCUUAGGACCCAGGUCUUGCAUGCUUGCCAAGCUGAACCAGAUUGAUUUGUGUGUGGACGGAAGCAGGGCUUCGGCUCAAACCUGAGUCAGAGCCUGGACUUAGUGUGUAGUGUAGACAUACCCGGCCUAAGUUAUCCCAACUGCUGAAACCAGUCUGAUCCCCAGCCACAAAGACAACCUCCGAACCCCUCCUCCACGCAGUCAAACCCCUUCCUCCACUCCCCACCAAAGCAACCAUCUCCUGAGGCUAUUGCUUGGGCAUGUCACGCUGCCCUGAUCAGUGUCCUGUGGGGGGCAGUUAGCCAGGAGCCACCCAGCCCCUGUGUGUCAAACCCCAAAGUCGCUGCAUGGAUCUGAAUGAGCCUGUCACACCAAAUGUGCCCUCUCCAUAGCCAGGCACAUUGUAACCUGGCCCGGUGUCACCAGGUGCUGCCUUUUCCCUGCCAGCUCAUCCCCGCCUGAAACAGAACUGGCCCAUGGGCAGUGUGUGAGCUUCCCCUUGCACUCUCCUGCCAAACUGAUGGCUGCACUACCACCAUGUGGCUGGUUUUUUCAUUACACCCAGUCGAAACUACAGCAGCUUUAUGUUUGAUUUCAAGCAAUAUGUCUCCCUCCCAGAGUCCCAGCCAGCGUGUUUUAGAUUUUAGCAGCAGUGAGCCCAUAGCUUGGUGCCUCUACCAAUGGGCUCUUCAAUCUAGGAGUGAAAGGUAUAACACCAUGCAACAGAUGGCAGCUGAAGCUAGACAAAUUCAGAUCGGUAAAUUUUUUCCAGUGAAUGUAAUUAACCAUUGGAACAAUUUACUAAGGGGCAUGGUGGAUUCUCACUCACUAACAAUUUUCCAGCCAAGAUUGGAUGGUUUUCUAAAAGAUCUGCUCUAGGAAUUGUUUGGGAGCAGUUCUCUGGCUGUGUUAUACAGGAAGUCAGACUAGCUGAUGGCAAUGGUCCCGGCUGGCCUUAGAACCUAUGAAUCUACGGUCACUCCCUUUUUGUUUUUUAUGUGCAAGAGAGAAAAAGAGGAUGCAUAUGCAUAUGCUCCCAUGCCUCACCUUCCUCUUUCCAAUCAACCAUGCUUGCCAGCCCCAUGAAUUCCCAGAGAGCAAGAAGGAGCCUCCCUGGGUUUGAAGGUGCCUCUUGAAUUUCACAUUUGAUCUAUUCAACGCUUUAUUUUAGCGGUGCCCAAAGUGUGGUUCUUUGCAGACCAUGGAAUUUGGUUUUAUCUGUAAAGUUUUCCCCUCUCCUUCCCCCCUGACCCCCCCAACCGCACGUGGUCAAGGUCGUGUGCAAAACACAGAUCUAGAUUUCCAGGAUGGUGUAUACAAAAAUUAUGCAUGCAUUUCCACACUUGAUCUGCAAGCACCAUUAGCACAAUUGCACAUGGGAAUUGCAAUAACUACACAAACAACUGGCCUGCCAGAUGUCUUCCUGGUCAUUUACAUGUGCAUUUAAUGCAAUGGCAUGCCCCAGCACAGUCACUGCGUGUGUAAAUUAGGCUCCCAAUGCAUGCAUAACUACAUGUGUAACUCUGUAAACCUUGGCCAAAAAAAAUACAAAACUGUAAUUAAAACUAUUAUGAAGUACAAUAAAAUAUUUGCUUUU